GACGAACGCUGGCGGCGCGCCUAACACAUGCAAGUCGAACGAGCGGGAGAGAGCUUGCUUUCUCGAGCGAGUGGCGAACGGGUGAGUAACGCGUGAGGCACCUGCCUCAAAGAGGGGGACAACAGUUGUAAACGACUGCUAAUACCGCAUAAGCCCACGGGUCGGCAUCGACCGGAGGGAAAAGGAGCAAUCCGCUUUGAGAUGGCCUCGCGUCCGAUUAGCUAGUUGGUGAGGUAAUGGCGCACCAAGGCGACGAUCGGUAGCCGGACUGGGCGGUUGAACGGCCACAUUGGGACUGAGACACGGCCCAGACUCCUACGGGAGGCAGCAGUGGGGAAUAUGGCACAAUGGGGAAACCCUGAGGCAGCGACGCCGCGUGGAGGAAGAAGGUCUUCGGAUUGUAAACGCCUGUUGUUGGGGAAGAUAAUGACGGUACCCAACAAGGAAGUGACGGCUAACUACGUG
rnacentral:rRNA from 1 species